rnacentral:lncRNA from 1 species
UUGCACACACACUAUGUUUCCUCUCCAAGUAAACAAAUUUCAGCCCUUAGAAUUUAUAUUGCUCAAAACCUGGUUCUAUUAACUAUCCCUGUCUUUGCCUUGAGUAUUUAGUUUUAUUAGUCAUUUAGAGGGAGCUUCAUUAGAAUUUGUGGGCUCAAAUAUUCAUCUUAUAUGUCUCCUUAGGUGAUAUGAUAGUUAACUGAUGGUACUUUAUGGAUGCUGGAUUUUGGUCAACUCAGGUGUUAAACCAAAGGUCAAUAAUCAUCUUCAUUAGAUUUACAAGCUCUGGGAACUUGUAAAAUUGCUCUACAUAAUCAACCUCAAAGUGAUUUUCCCUUUUUUUUCCAUUAAGAUAGUCAAAAGGAACUUUCUGUGAAAUUUAUGAGAAAUGAGAAAAAUCCAAUGCUAAAACCUUGAUGAUGAUAAUGUAAUUUACAUCAAUUUAUCUAAAUAUUUAUGCCUUACAAAUUAUUAUUACUUUGCAUUUUCUGCUCUGUUAGAUAUAUAUCAAUUGACUACACUUGAUCUGAAUCUUCAGACAUCUUGUUCUACUCUUCUUAAUUCAUGAUGAUAUAUCUCUUCAUUAUUAUUGCUUUCUUGCAUGUAGGAUGGGCAUUUGAGGGUCUUCAAGUGGCCAAGUAUGGAAAGUGUUCUUGAUCAAACUGAUGCUCAUACAACUGUGAAGGAUUUGCAUUUCAGGUUGAUAGAAGGAUGUUUAAAUGAGAAAGAAUCUUCAUAACUAAAUAUUGGUCUUUUUUUUUCUUUCUUCUUCUUCUUCUUUCCUUUUUUUUUUUUUGCAUUUGCACUACAGAAUUGGGCUUGUCUCAUAUGGAAGCAUUUAUAUCAUCUGCUUGUAAUGUUUUGCAGCCUUGAUGGAAAGUUUCUUGUGUCAUUGGGAAGUAGUGGACCUUGCAGGGUUUGGGAUCUGACAUCAUCAACAGCUAUAGCCAGUCUGCCAAGGGAAGAUGUAAGCAAUUUCUUCAGUGACUUUCUCAAGUACCUGAACUAGUUUUUUUAUUAUAUGGACUUAUGAAAUAUACAUGUUUCCAGGGUGAAGUUUUUGGCUUCUGCAGGUUUUCUCAAAGCACUGAUAAUAAUCAGAUACUAUUUGUUACUGCAAUGCAUGGUGAUGUUCCAGAGUCAAACUACAACUUUGCCUUGAUUCUUCUUGUUUAUUUGUUCUAAUGUUUCACAGUAUUGAACAGUAUUAUCUUUAAUUUGCAGGUGACCGGGGAAAGAUAGUGUCUUGGAAUACUCUUUCAUGGAAGAGAGUUGGGUCAAAGAAGGUAGUCCGUGACCCAAUUUCUGCAUUCAAUGUAGCAACUGAUGGUAAACUCCUUGCAAUGUAAGUGAUUCAUUUAAACCUCACCACCAUUAAACUAAUAGUUCCAUUCAGUAUGUAUGAUUGUAUGACCCCUCUAUUGUCAUGAUUGUUCUUUUUGCCUUUUUCUACUGCUUUCUAGGGUGGGUCUGCGGUUGCUGAUAUGUGUUCAUAUAUUGGAAGCAAAGAAAGCAUAUCCAAUUUUACCAGGAGUCUAAAAUUUGUAACACAAGAAUAGAUUUUUAUUACAAUCUUUUGUGCAAUUCAUCAUGUAACCUGUAAGCUUGUGCGUGUUUAUUACAGUUGUCAUUUGACUUGAGUCACUUGAGUUACUAGUGGGGUUGCAGUCAGUUUCGAGUCAUCCAGUCAUUAUAUUGAAUAGUAGUCCUUCAAGUCUACACUAGGUUAGGAGAUUUCAAUCCCAUGCAAAUUUUGAUGGUCUUUAUAUAUCCAGGUUACAAACUUCAAGACUAACACAAAAAUUGUCUGCCACCUUUGCGGAUGCUGAUUCCUUGAGUCCUUGAUCAGGAACUAAGUAAUGACCACCCAAUGUUAUUGUUCAAAGAAGAUCUCCUUGGCAAUUUUGAUUAUUCUGUAGGUGUGCCAAGACCAUGUCAUUGCUUUACAACAUCCACACCCAACAGCCCAGCAUUAUGGGUGUCAUCAUUGUAAUAAAUAGGGUAAUGAUGCCAUUUAAGGGCUUUCAUGUGUGGACCAACUGACAGUUUUAUUGCAGUAAGGAAAAAAAAGGGGGAAAACGCACAUUACCACUAUGAAAUGUGGUUGACUUGGUAACUUGAAGAAAAAGGUCCCUCUUUUUCUGGUCUCCUCAAAUAAUCACAUUUACCCUGUGACUUUGCAGUGGGACAGUAGAAGGAAACAUCAUAAUCCUAAAUUCAGAUAUGCAGGUGCAAACCAUGGUUAAAAAAGCACACCUUGGCCUUGUUACUGCAUUAGUGUUCUCCCAGGAUUCAAGGUUACCGUCCAAACUUAUCCUACUUCAUAGUUAAAUGUAUUAUUUCAAAACUAAGAGUUGUAUAACCGGCCUCAGAUCCAUAAUUAGCCAGCUGAAGAUGUACAAUUAAGCUAUUGCUUGUGUACAGGGCCUUGAUGUCUGCAUCCUUUGAUUCAAGUGCACGAGUGACACUUAUUGAAAGCAGAAAGAGUAAUGGUAUGUUAUCAUUUUAUAUUUUGGUUUCAUGGCAUGCUUUCUAUUUCUUUUUCGUUAUAUUUUGAAUGUGUUGCUGUUGUUUCAACAGGGUUGAGCAUGUUGCUCAUUGUCUUUGUUGCUGUACUGGCAAUUCUGGUUUAUUUCAUGAAGUGGAAGGGGGUCCUUUGAGAAAUUCUGGCAUACGUGAAAGGAAGAUUUUGAAUUCAAAUUAUUCUGGGGUAGGAGUGAGCUAGAAAGAUCUGAUCCUGUACCAGCCAAAAAAAAUAAACUUUUAUACGAUGCGUGGAUAUUGUUGUCGAAGAAAGAAAAGGAAUUUUUGGGGUUCGUUGCAUUAUGUAAACAGCCUGGAUAUUUCAUCAUGUUUAGGAGUGUUUCUGCUCAUCUUUGUCGUUCUUUGGCAAUGGCCCGCGUUUUACCUGUUCCACACCAUCAGAAAUUCUUAUUUGAGACUGAAGUUAGUAUUUUCAAUAUUUGUGAAGAAAUUAUUAACAAGGGUAUAUUACUUUUUAACUCAUGGUUGCACGAGAUUUUAUAAUACAUGGCAUCUCCUUUUAUGUGUGGACACAGAAUGUGGUGCCAUCACAUGUGUCCGACUUCAGUCCAAAUAUUCUUGCUAACUACCUUUUACUUUAUUGUGCACUAAAUUUUGUUGGGGUGAUGAUGACUUGUCUUGGCCUAUGUAUGCCACUUGUUAUCAGAUAAUUCAGAUAUACGCGCAUGCAAAAUUGGUACAAUUAAAACUUGCUUCAACACUGGACCCCAAUCCAAAAAAUGUCUAAAUUCCUAAUAAAGUACAACGCUUAAUCUCAGAACUACACCGCAUUAAAGGACUCAACUGGGAACCUUUGCGCAGCAAUUUCGACGCCCAAGGUAGGAAAAUAUGGUAUUAGUAUACUAAAAUAUUGUUUCUCCAAGCCAAAACAAAAUAAAAAAUCCAAUAUCCAUUACCUUUCUUGACGUUCUUAAAGACAAGCUCCCAUCCAUAAGACUUGCAUAUAUGAUAAAUAUUUGAGCGCCCAAAAUCUAAUGUCCAUUUGACGAAUCAUAUGGUUGAUUUAAAAAAAAAAAAAGUGAUUUGCACGGGCCACCAGGAAACACGUUUAACGAUCCCGGUAUCAUGCAUUUUAAUAUCAAUUUCCUUAUUCUUCAAGAGUUGGGUGGGCCCUUGCGCCUCCCUGGUUCCACGGCCUACCAGUGAGUUGCACCAUCUCGUUCACAAAUACGCCCUUACGAUAUCACACCGCGUAAGAGUGGCUCAGUGAUUAAAUACGCAAACACAACCAAAUGAUAAUGAAAUGACAACCAUAUUGAUAAAUAAAGCUUUGUGUUGAGAAUCUUGGGAAGCGUACUCAAGGGGAGAGCAUCUGUUGAUCAUUCAAGGACAAAUGGUUCCUUCCCCUGCGAAGUACACAACCCACACACACCACACACACACGGGGGAUAGGGCAUAUAUUUACACGCAGUCUCCGUUAUCUAGAUGUGUACUUGUUUACAAUGUCCUAACAUGCAGUCUCCAUUAAUACAACUGCUGCGCACUCAAAAGAUCUCCACAGAUUUGCAUCGCAUCUCUCAACCUCAGAUCAAUUUUCUCUAGUACUGUUCUUGAUCCAUUCAAGGUACUUGAGGUUGCCACCACUGAUGGGCAAAGCAAUCACUUCAGGAACCCUGUAAAUGUUAAUUUAUAAAGAUUAGGUACCUAGCAUGCGUGCAAUCUGCAAUGUUAUCAUCAGAAUGCAACAAAUGUAUGCCACUGCAGUUAAUGCAUUUCAUGCAGCAUGGUCUAAGAGAUUGGCCCUUGAUUACACAGUGCCCGGUGUUCAGAAUGGAGCUUACUCAUAUUCAUGGUUGGCUUUAACAUGGUCUGUCAAAGCGUUCAGAAGGGAUUCUCUUGUCUUGAUUAUGAGUAAUUCCUCAGAAUCUGUUUGAACCUGAAAAAUAAAUGUUAUGAUAGAUCAGUUAAACAAGCCAACCAAUGACAAUAUUCAGGACUGUUAUUUAGCCAAUAUUUUCUUUUGUUGGUAAAAUCGUGAGGCAUCAGAUGGAUACAUCAGAAGCAUGGCAGCAUUAUGUUAGUUCAACGACGUUAGGACGUCUAACAGUUAAUAUUGGCUACAAUUGACAAUUUUCUCGAUGAUGCACCAUCUGUAUACAGACAAUGUCUGGAUUUGAGGCUGAACGAGUAUAUAAAGCUUGUGGGUGUACAGGUACAUGGAAUUACUGGUGUCAAGUACUUCCUGGAUAACUGGCAAAUUGAUGGUGCUUAAAAAUCAAUAAUUUUCAAAUGGAAUAAAGUUUCAUUUCAAGUGUUAGAACUCUACCUUACCAUCCCACCAAUAAACAGACUCAAUGCCUGCAAUUACAAAACAUAGGCAUAAUUAGGAAAUGCAUGAUGAAACAAAACAUGUCUUGAUAAUAAGCAGAGGAUGGUCUCUAAAAUUACAAAAAAAAAAAAAAAAGUCUUUCAGCCAGCAUUUGCCAUCAUCUAUUAAAAUUUGUAACUCGAGAUUUUCAGGGCCCAGUACAGAUCUAUGGAAUUUUGCUGCUGAACAAAUCAACCAUCAAAAUGUCUGGUAGUACAUGACAUCCCAAUGGAUGUUUAUAACUGCACCCAGAAUCUUAAGAUAUCAAAAAAAAAUUUCUCUAUCCAGUAGCUAAAUAAGGCUACAAUUUGACUAGGUCAGAACAAAUAAACUGUGCACUUCAUUUGAUGUUACAAAAAAUUUCAAAAGUUAGAACUACCAUCAGAAUGUACUUGUUAGGACUUGUUAGACUACAUUCUGUAAAUGUUAUAAAAAAAAUUCAGUUAUACUAGUUUUUUUAAUCUCACUUCCUCAAAUCUCGACACCAAUUCAAAACCAUGAAUCUUAAUCACUUUAACUACCAUGAAUCCAAUUGGAUUCAUACUAUUGUAGGAAAGUCUGUCUUUGUAUAUGCAUGUCUAUGAGAACUAAUUAAAAUUUUGAUUCAUGAAAAAUGAAACCGAAUGUACUAAAUAAAAGAUACAUGAAGUUUUCAUUUCAAUUCAGCUCGCUCUCUCUCUCUCUCUCUCUUGCACACACACAACACAUGCACGCACAAACAACAAAUCUUCAAUUCAGAUGCUACUUAUUCCUAAAAUCUUACCAAAUAUUCUAUCAACUAAAUCCUAUUAUAAACAACUACUUUAUGUUGCUAUUUAAUGCCAUUGUGUUUGCACAAAUAUGUGACACCAGAAACUGUAAAGUGAUCUGGAAAUUUACUACAUAUACUAAAACUACUGAUUCAUUCUAUUGUAGGAAAGUCUGUCCUUGUAUAUGCAUGUCUAUGAGAACGAAUUAAAAUUUUGAUUCAUG